rnacentral:misc_RNA from 1 species
UCAACAUGCUGUCUCGAUAAGCCUCCUCCAUUUCGGGUUCAUAACAAUACUCCAUGACCUUCUUCAUAGUUAGUUUCUUGCCUCUACCCAAGCUAGAAGAUUUUGAAGCAUCACUGUCCUCAACCUUUUCAACUUCAGUCAUGAAAUAGUCGUCCAUUGAAUGAAUUCGUGGGGCAUUACCACCAUUUUCAACCUCAAGAUCACGCAUCAUCUUUGCCAAGUAGCUC